GGGGAUUGUUUUCCACACCGUGGAAGCUUUGUUCUUUUCGUUUUUUGCAAUAAAUCUUGUUGCUGCUCGCUUUUUGGGUCCACAUUGCUUUUAUGAGCUGUACCACUCACCGUGAAGAUCUGCAGCUUCACUUCAGAGCCUAGCGAGACCACAAGCUCACUGAGAGGAACAAACAACUCCAGACGCGCUGUCUUAAGAGCUAUAACACUCACCGCGAAGGUGUGCAGUUUCACUCCUGAGCUAGUGAGACUACGAAGCCACUGGAACGAAGAAACUCCAACCACGUUUGAACAUCAGAAGGGGCAGACUCCAGACGCUUCAUCUUAAGAGCUGUAACACUCACUGUGAAGGUCUGCAGCUUCACUCCUGAGCCAGCGAGACCACGAACCGAUCUGAACAUCAGAAGGGACAGACUCCAGAUGCCCCACCUUAAGAGCUGUAAUACUCACUGCAAGGGUCUGCAGCUUCAUUCUUGAAGUCAGACCAAGAACCCAGCAAUUCCCAACACACAGGGACCAGCUUCUUUCCUAACUCACUUAGGCUCUUCGUGCUGCUCUGGCAACUAACACCCUUGGCUGCAGGGGCUUGGACACUACCCUUAGUCACUGACAAUUGUGUGAAGGCUGCUGUCGUUAACUUCACUUGAUCACCUUAGGCUCCUGUGAAGUGGUGAGCAAUUCAAACAAAUUCCUGUCGUCAAAUCAUAAUCCUGAUUUUGUUUGGAAGGACAGCGUGCCUGGUUCCAGAUGGAGAAAUUGCACUGCAGAGAAAUCUUUAAAAGCAAUUACCUAAUACUGCAGAUUGCUGAACUGUACCCACACCCAAGACUGAGCAUUGGAUCAAUCCAGAAUAUACAUCAGGUGUUCUGCAAUGUCUGCCUAAAACCAUGACUCUGCCUCCUCCAGCUGUUGCUACAUCUCACUAUGGGUUUCCUGUGACAUUUUGAGCAAGUAUGCCUCUGUGACUGGGGUUCUUACACUCCAGAAUGGAUGAGAAGCACCGUAAGUGGCUUUUAAAAUGAAUAUUCCCUGGCCCUUCAGUCGCUCUAUAGGUCAAGAAUCUGAAUUCUCAACCUGUCUAGAAGGUUCUGGUUUUAAUGGUCUGUGGGCUGCACAUUGAGAAACCUGUUCAGCGAGUGCAACAAAGGUUCCACAUGUGAGAAAGGAAGCAUCAGGUCUCUUGAGCCUGUUCUUUAAUCUGUAGGCUGCACCUUCUCUUUAAAUUCUGCUAAUAACACCAUGCGAGAAAACACCCGAGCUUGAAAAGCCCAUGUUCCAACAUAACUGUCCUUCACCACUCUGGAAAAUUAAUGGUUUGUUUCGAUUAUCCCUUUGUUAAACUCCAAAGUCAAAGAGCUCUGAAAGGCAUACGGUUAUUUUAAGUUUCAGGUGAUUUCUGUUGCCAAAUAUUUUAAAAAUUUAAAAUUGCUACGUGACCUCUUAGUAGUACUAUUAGAUUUCCUGACAAUAAAAAUAAGUCUUUUGGUUUCACCAUUUAUAGUUAGUACAGCUAAUAUUAAGUAUAAUUUUAAAAGCCUUUUAUUUUCUCAGAAAGAAAAAAUAAUCAAAAUCUGCUCAGUGUGGUAUUGAAUAAUUAAAAACAAAAGAACAGUAUCUUCACAUUAGUGUUUAAUAUUAAUUGCUUUUUUACCCUUGACACUGGUGCUAAUUAAAUUUUCAUUUUAUUUUCCAUGACUUGUUUAAACAGUUUUUGCAAAUUAUUGCUAAUCAGCCUAAUAAAACUGAAUCAC
rnacentral:lncRNA from 1 species